rnacentral:rRNA from 1 species
GUGUCAGCAGCCGCGGUAAUACGUAGGGUGCAAGCGUUAAUCGGAAUUACUGGGCGUAAAGCGUGCGCAGGCGGUUAUAUAAGACAGAUGUGAAAUCCCCGGGCUCAACCUGGGCACUGCAUUUGUGACUGUAUAGCUAGAGUACGGUAGAGGGGGAUGGAAUUCCGCGUGUAGCAGUGAAAUGCGUAGAUAUGCGGAGGAACACCGAUGGCGAAGGCAAUCCCCUGGACCUGUACUGACGCUCAUGCACGAAAGCGUGGGGAGCAAACAGGAUUAGAAACCCCGGUAGUCC